AAAGUCGUAACAAGGUAACCGUAGGUGAACCUGCGGUUGGAUCAUUACAGAAAUGGAUGUGGCUUCGGCCCGCCUGCGUACUUGCUCAAACGAGCAGUGCGUAGUAAUUCCAAACCUAUUGUGCACUGUUUUUGUCUCUGGCGGCCGGGUACACAUGUCCUACGCAAGUAUGCUCAUGAUUGCCUGUCAGCCUGGUGUAAAAACCCAGGCCGUGGACAAACCGCCAACAUCAUAUAUAAACUUUGAAGUCUAAAGUAAACCAGUAUUUAAAUAUACAAACAACUUUUGGCAACGGAUCUCUUGGCUCUC
rnacentral:misc_RNA from 1 species